rnacentral:rRNA from 1 species
CUACCGUGAGGUGAGGAAUACCGGCGAGAAAUCGCCGACAAGACCGCAUAGCCUCGGCGCGAGCCGAGGAAAGCUCUCUCGAGAGAGGGAGCGCCACACGAGGAGCCUGCGCCCGAUUAGCUGGCUGGUGGAGUAACGGUUCACCAGGGCGACGAUCGGUAGCUGGUCUGAGAGGAUGGCCAGCCACACUGGAACUGAGACACGGUCCAG